GACGAACGCUGGCGGCGUGCUUAACACAUGCAAGUCGAACGGAAAGGCCCCUGCUUGCAGGGGUACUCGAGUGGCGAACGGGUGAGUAACACGUGGGUGAUCUGCCUUGCACUCUGGGAUAAGCUUGGGAAACUGGGUCUAAUACCGGAUAGGAACCGUCUUUAGUGUGGUGGUUGGAAAGUUUUUUCGGUGCAAGAUGAGCUCGCGGCCUAUCAGCUUGUUGGUGGGGUAAUGGCCUACCAAGGCGUCGACGGGUAGCCGGCCUGAGAGGGUGUACGGCCACAUUGGGACUGAGAUACGGCCCAGACUCCUACGGGAGGCAGCAGUGGGGAAUAUUGCACAAUGGGCGGAAGCCUGAUGCAGCGACGCCGCGUGGGGGAUGACGGCCUUCGGGUUGUAAACUCCUUUCGACAGGGACGAAGCGCAAGUGACGGUACCUGUAUAAGAAGCACCGGCUAACUACGUGCCAGCAGCCGCGGUAAUACGUAGGGUGCGAGCGUUGUCCGGAAUUACUGGGCGUAAAGAGCUCGUAGGUGGUUUGUCGCGUCGUCUGUGAAAUUCCGGGGCUUAACUCCGGGCGUGCAGGCGAUACGGGCAUAACUUGAGUGCUGUAGGGGAGACUGGAAUUCCUGGUGUAGCGGUGAAAUGCGCAGAUAUCAGGAGGAACACCGAUGGCGAAGGCAGGUCUCUGGGCAGUUACUGACGCUGAGGAGCGAAAGCAUGGGUAGCGAACAGGAUUAGAUACCCUGGUAGUCCAUGCCGUAAACGGUGGGCGCUAGGUGUAGGGGGCUUCCACGUCUUCUGUGCCGUAGCUAACGCAUUAAGCGCCCCGCCUGGGGAGUACGGCCGCAAGGCUAAAACUCAAAGGAAUUGACGGGGGCCCGCACAAGCGGCGGAGCAUGUGGAUUAAUUCGAUGCAACGCGAAGAACCUUACCUGGGCUUGACAUACACCAGAUCGCUGCAGAGAUGUAGUUUCCCUUGUGGUUGGUGUACAGGUGGUGCAUGGUUGUCGUCAGCUCGUGUCGUGAGAUGUUGGGUUAAGUCCCGCAACGAGCGCAACCCUUGUCUUAUGUUGCCAGCAUUUGGUUGGGGACUCAUGAGAGACUGCCGGGGUUAACUCGGAGGAAGGUGGGGAUGACGUCAAAUCAUCAUGCCCCUUAUGUCCAGGGCUUCACACAUGCUACAAUGGUCGGUACAACGCGCAGCGAUACUGUGAGGUGGAGCGAAUCGCUGAAAGCCGGUCUUAGUUCGGAUUGGGGUCUGCAACUCGACCCCAUGAAGUCGGAGUCGCUAGUAAUCGUAGAUCAGCAAUGCUGCGGUGAAUACGUUCCCGGGCCU
rnacentral:rRNA from 1 species